CCUACGGGUGGCAGCAGUAGGGAAUAUUGCUCAAUGGGGGAAACCCUGAAGCAGCAACGCCGCGUGGAGGAUGAAGGUUUUAGGAUUGUAAACUCCUUUUGUGAGAGAAGAUAAUGACGGUAUCUCAUGAAUAAGCACUGGCUAACUCCGUGCCAGCAGCCGCGGUAGUACGGGGGGUGCAAGCGUUAAUCGGAAUCACUGGGCGUAAAGAGUGCGCAGGCGGGCUUGUAAGUCAGAUGUGAAGUCCUGUAGCUUAACUACAGAACUGCAUUUGAAACUAUGAGUCUAGAGUGUGGGAGAGGUAAGUGGAAUUCUUGGUGUAGGAGUAAAAUCCGUAGAUAUCAAGAGGAAUACUCGUGGCGAAGGCGACCUACUGGAACAUUACUGACGCUCAUGAGCGAAAGCGUGGGGAGCAAACAGGAUUAGAUACCCUUGUAGUC
rnacentral:rRNA from 1 species